GGUCUCGUAGCUCAAGCAGGUCAGAGCACUUGCCUUAUAAGCGAGAGGUUCCAGGUUCAAAUCCUGGCGGGACCACCA
rnacentral:tRNA from 1 species